UUUAUUGCAUCAAUCUCAAGGGCGUGGUGUGGGUGUAGUUGCCCUGCCUUAAAACCACGUGGAGUCAUCAUGAUCAUUAUGUGAACUAGAAUGGGUACUCCUGGGUUUCCUAUGGUCGAUACAAGAUAAGGGAGCUUCUGCUUGGCUGAUAGGCUGAUCGUGUUUAGUUGCUCCUAGUGAGUCAGAGAGUUGUUCCAGAGGAUAAUGGAUUCCAUGCUUACCUCAGGCUAAGUGGACGUGUGGAAUUUCUUGUGGUGUUGUCCUCUGAGAGAAGGCUCCAGUCUUGAUACACUAACAGUACUUGGUUCUCAUAAAGGAGACGUCAUUUGACUAGCUAAUGACAGUUCUUUAAACACCUCCUCCUCAUCCCAGCAACAAUCUAAUGGCCCUCUCUUUAGUCUUCAUGGAGUCGUUCCAGUAUGAUGAUACUCUUCCACAAUAUGUUGGGAAGUUGAAAGACAUUAUUUUUAAUUGACUGCUGCUAUUCACUCUCACUGAGGACGGGAUUGUGUUGGUCUACAGUGUCUCUAAUGCUAUGAUCAUUGCUGCCAUUCAUCCACUGGAA